rnacentral:rRNA from 1 species
CCUACGGGUGGCUGCAGUCGAGGAUCUUCGGCAAUGUGCGCAAGCAUGACCGAGCGACGCCGCGUGUGGGAUGAAGGCCUUCGGGUUGUAAACCACUGUCGUGGGGGAGAAAAGCCUCGCAAGAGGUCUGAUCUAUCCCAGGAGGAAGCACGGGCUAAGUUCGUGCCAGCAGCCGCGGUAAGACGAACCGUGCAAACGUUGUUCGGAAUCACUGGGCUUAAAGGGCGCGUAGGCUGUUCGUUAAGUCUUGGGUGAAAUCUUUCGGCUUAACCGGAAAAUUGCCCGGGAUACUGGCGAGCUCGAGGGUGGUAGGGGCGAUCGGAACUGCCAGUGGAGCGGUGAAAUGCGUUGAUAUUGGCAGGAACGCCGGUGGCGAAAGCGGAUCGCUGGAUCACUCCUGACGCUGAGGCGCGAAAGCUAGGGGAGCAAACGGGAUUAGA